rnacentral:rRNA from 1 species
UACGAAGGGGGCUAGCGUUGCUCGGAAUUACUGGGCGUAAAGGGAGCGUAGGCGGAUAGUUUAGUCAGAGGUGAAAGCCCAGGGCUCAACCUUGGAAUUGCCUUUGAUACAGGCUAUCUUGAGUACGGAAGAGGUAUGUGGAACUCCGAGUGUAGAGGUGAAAUUCGUAGAUAUUCGGAAGAACACCAGUGGCGAAGGCGACAUACUGGUCCGUUACUGACGCUGAGGCUCGAAAGCGUGGGGAGCAAACAGG